GAUGAACGCUGGCGGCGUGCCUAAUACAUGCAAGUCGAGCGAACAGAUAAGGAGCUUGCUCUUUUGACGUUAGCGGCGGACGGGUGAGUAACACGUGGGUAACCUAUCUAUAAGACUGGAAUAACUCCGGGAAACCGGGGCUAAUGCCGGAUAACAUGUUGAACCGCAUGGUUCUACAGUGAAAGGCGGCUUUGCUGUCACUUAUAGAUGGACCCGCGCCGUAUUAGCUAGUUGGUGAGGUAACGGCUCACCAAGGCAACGAUACGUAGCCGACCUGAGAGGGUGAUCGGCCACACUGGAACUGAGACACGGUCCAGACUCCUACGGGAGGCAGCAGUAGGGAAUCUUCCGCAAUGGGCGAAAGCCUGACGGAGCAACGCCGCGUGAGUGAUGAAGGUCUUCGGAUCGUAAAACUCUGUUAUUAGGGAAGAACAAAUGCGUAAGUAACUGUGCGCGUCUUGACGGUACCUAAUCAGAAAGCCACGGCUAACUACGUG
rnacentral:rRNA from 1 species